rnacentral:rRNA from 1 species
UACGAAGGGGGCUAGCGUUGCUCGGAAUCACUGGGCGUAAAGGGUGCGUAGGCGGGUUUUUAAGUCAGGGGUGAAAUCCUGGAGCUCAACUCCAGAACUGCCUUUGAUACUGAAGAUCUUGAGUCCGGGAGAGGUGAGUGGAACUGCGAGUGUAGAGGUGAAAUUCGUAGAUAUUCGCAAGAACACCAGUGGCGAAGGCGGCUCACUGGUCCGGUACUGACGCUGAGGCACGAAAGCGUGGGGAGCAAACAGG